rnacentral:rRNA from 1 species
GACGAACGCUGGCGGCGUGCUUAACACAUGCAAGUCGAACGGAAAGGCCCUGCUUUUGUGGGGUGCUCGAGUGGCGAACGGGUGAGUAACACGUGAGUAACCUGCCCUUGACUUUGGGAUAACUUCAGGAAACUGGGGCUAAUACCGGAUAGGAGCUCCUGCUGCAUGGUGGGGGUUGGAAAGUUUCGGCGGUUGGGGAUGGACUCGCGGCUUAUCAGCCUGUUGGUGGGGUAGUGGCUUACCAAGGGUUUGACGGGUAGCCGGCCUGAGAGGGUUGCCGGCGACAUUGGGACUGAGAUACGGACCAGACUCCUACGGGAGGCAGCGGGGGGGAAUAUUGCGGAGUGGGCGGAAGUCUGAUGCAGCAACGCCGCGUGCGGGAUGACGGCCUUCGGGUUGUAAACCGCUUUCGCAUGUGACGAAGCGGGAGUGACGGUAAUGGGUAAAGAAGCACCGGCUAACUACGUG